rnacentral:rRNA from 1 species
GUACACUCCUACGGGAAGCAGCAGUGGGGAAUAUUGGACAAUGGGCGCAAGCCUGAUCCAGCCAUGCCGCGUGAGUGAUGAAGGCCCUAGGGUUGUAAAGCUCUUUCACCGGUGAAGAUAAUGACGGUAACCGGAGAAGAAGCCCCGGCUAACUUCGUGCCAGCAGCCGCGGUAAUACGAAGGGGGCUAGCGUUGUUCGGAUUUACUGGGCGUAAAGCGCACGUAGGCGGACUAUUAAGUCAGGGGUGAAAUCCCGGGGCUCAACCCCGGAACUGCCUUUGAUACUGGUAGUCUUGAGUUCGAGAGAGGUGAGUGGAAUUCCGAGUGUAGAGGUGAAAUUCGUAGAUAUUCGGAGGAACACCAGUGGCGAAGGCGGCUCACUGGCUCGAUACUGACGCUGAGGUGCGAAAGCGUGGGGAGCAAACAGGAUUAGAAACCCGGGUAGUCCCAUG